AGAAAAGGAGAGAGAGAGAGACAAAAAGCGGGAGUCUUUUCAUCAUCAAAAAAGGAGAGAGACCCACUCCAAUGUCGCUGCAGAAUCACUGGUGUUAGUGGUGGUGGGUUACAGAGUAAGAGGUCUUGUAGCGAGAAGAAGACUAAUAAAGCUGCUAGCUUUUUUUCCAAAUAAAGAGCUUUCUUAGAUUAGUGAGAACCCAUUUCUCUCUUUCUCCCUCUCUCUUCUUGUUGUCUUUAAACUGAGAAGAUGAGUUCUGCGGCGCAUUUUAGCAAUGAGAGGGUUUUCAGAGGGUUUCUGGUAUGGUUCUGCUCUUGGGGACUGCUCUCUCUAACAUGCGCAGCAGGGAGGCUCAGUGUCUCGAGUCAGAACUUGGAAGUGCACAAACACUUGAAACGCUUGAACAAACCAGCCGUUAAGAGCAUUCAGAGUCCAGACGGUGACAUAAUAGACUGUGUUCAUAUCUCAAAGCAACCAGCUUUUGGCCAUCCUUUCCUCAAAGAUCACAAGAUUCAGAUGAAUCCUAGUACCAUCCCUGACCUGCUGUUUGGUGAGAAGAAAGUAUCUGAGAAACCAAAAGAGAGAACCAAUCCAGUCACUCAGUUAUGGCACCAGACCGGAGCGUGUUCCUCAGGGACAAUACCAGUGAGGAGGACAAAGAAAGAAGACGUUCUGAGAGCAAGCUCCGCUAAACGCUACGGUAAGAAGAAGCACCGUACAGUCCCCCUGCCGCGUUCUGCUGAUCCUGAUCUCGCCAACCAAAGUGGUCACCAGCACGCUAUAGCUUAUGUGGAAGGAGGCAAGUUUUACGGAGCUAAGGCUACUAUAAACGUUUGGGAACCUAAAGUCCAAAGCUCAAAUGAGUUCAGCUUGUCUCAGCUGUGGAUCCUUGGUGGUGCUUUUGGUCAAGAUCUCAACAGCAUUGAAGCUGGUUGGCAGGUUAGUCCGGAUCUAUAUGGUGAUAACAAUACAAGACUAUUCACAUACUGGACGAGUGAUGCUUACCAAGCUACUGGCUGCUACAAUCUCCUUUGUUCCGGUUUUAUACAAAUCAACAGCCAAAUAGCAAUGGGAGCUAGUAUAUCUCCUGUCUCUGGCUUCCAUAACUCGCAAUACGAUAUCAGCAUUACCAUUUGGAAGGAUCCGAAAGAAGGGCACUGGUGGAUGCAGUUUGGGGACGGGUAUGUUUUGGGGUACUGGCCAAGCUUCCUGUUCUCGUACUUAGCAGAGAGUGCGUCCAUAGUGGAAUGGGGUGGGGAAGUAGUGAACAUGGAAGAGGACGGUCACCACACGACAACUCAAAUGGGGAGCGGUCAGUUUCCUGAUGCAGGGUUCUCGAAAGCAAGUUACUUUCGGAAUAUUCAAGUUGUUGAUAGCUCUAAUAACCUGAAGGAACCAAAAGGGCUCAACACUUUUACUGAGAAGUCGAAUUGCUAUGAUGUUGAGGUUGGUAAGAAUGGUGACUGGGGGCAUUAUUUUUACUAUGGAGGCCCUGGGAGAAACCCUAAUUGUCAGUAGAUGGUGAGCUGAAGAAGGAAGAUGUUGAUGAUGAAGAUGUAGAGUAACGCUUGUGUUUAUGUGAAGUGUGGAAAUAUCGUUUUUGUUGAUUUUUUUCUUACACUUUACUAUCUGUUUUUUUUUUUAAAACACUUUUCCUUUGGGUUUCUAGGUUUUGAUUAGGUUUUAGUUGCGGUUUUGGGGUUUUUAUUUGUUACUUGGGUUGGAAGAGAACAACUCUGUCUGCAGUUUGUAAGUGUGAAAGAGAAUUUGAUAAGUCUUAUCUUUUGUAACCUUGAAGACAUGGAGGUUGCAGAGCUUCGGGUUGUUUAGGAGUCUUUCCUUUGUUGCAUUUGCUGCUUACUGAAAAGAGAAUUUGUAAGUGGGAAAGAGAGAUUGUCUGUAGAACAAGUUUGUUUGUAGUUUGUUAUUGUGAAAGAGAGAAUCGGAUAAGUCUUAUCUCUUGUAACCUUCAAGACAAGAAGGUUGCAUUCUCCCUUUGUUGCAUUUGGUUAUGAAAUGAUUUUUUUUUU